GACGUGGGGGUGGCCGGGUAGGGGUUAAGCACUGAACUCUUGUCGUACCCAUCCUCUUCAAGUCCGGCCGGCGUGACGAUUCAGCGGCGUGCGCCACCGUGGGGUGGGGUGGGGGGUUCAUGGAUUUCCCGCUGGAUCCAGUUAGCAGUCUGCCUAUAUAUGCGCCGUAUCCGGCUGAGGCAGCAGCGCUGAGCUUGCAAGGGGAGGACUCCGUCAGCAGCAACGCUGGACCCGCGGCUCCAGGUGUGGCUGUGCUUGGCGACCUUGUGGACGGGAGUAGCGUGGGCGGGGGGUGGUGGCGUUGCCGGCCCGGAGGUACCUGUUCCAGCUGAUUCCGCGGAAUCCACUGAGCAAGGCGACCCACAAUCCCCCGGAUGGAUGAAAAGAGUUCGCGUCGGCCGAGCACUGCCAGAACUCAUUGCGCGGAACGGCAAAGCGCAUUAGAGAAGUAAGUACGGUGUUUUGCGGAGAAGCUCGGUGAUGAGGUCAUCGACCCCUUCCUGGGUACAACUUUUGACUCGCUUAGUGUGGCGUACAACUUAUAUAAUCUGUAUUUCUGGGAACAUGGUUUUGGGAUCAGAUAUGGGGAAUUCAGCAAAGACGAAGUGCAUGCAAGAACUCGUCUGCGGGUGCUCGGAGAAGCCCACUGGUGAAAAUACAAGGUCUUGCCGUUGUGAAUGCCCAGCAAUGAUACGGCUGCUGAGAUCUGCAGACAAUGGGUGGUACACUACGGAGCAUAGAGUAAUCCACAAUCAUGUGCUGACGGAGACAUGUGGUGAGACUGCAUUCUGGCCGUCACACAGGCACAUAGAUAUGUUCACGAAGGACUUGGUUAAGCAGCUUAGGGAUAACAACAUAAACAUUGGCUAGGUGUACAACAUUAUAGGGAGCUUCUUCACGAGUGUUGAUAACCUACCUUUCACAAAUCGGUUGCUGCAGAAUUUGUGUGAACAGCUAAGCCGAGAAGAGGCAGAUGAUGAUGUGAGGAAAACAAUUGAAGUUUUCGACCAGAUAGGUGCAAAGGACCCAGAUUUUGUUUCAGAGUCCAGGCUGAUUCAGAUACCAGGAUCAAGACCCUCCGGUGGACAGCAGGAGUAUAAAUACUUUGGUGAUGUAAUAACCUUCGACAUGACAUACGGACCAAACUUGUAUGACAUGCCAUUCGGUCUAUUCGUCGGGGUUAAUAACCUUUUUCAGAGCUUAAUUCUGGCCGGUGUCAUGGUCCGGGAUGAGCAAGAGCAAGUAGAGAGCUUCGAGUGGUUUUCACAGAGUUCGUCCGCAUGAUGGGAGGUGAUCCUCCACAAACCAUACUGGCAGGUAAUUUUCACUUUGUUUUCCUGCAUUUCGAAAAGACGUGCGGUUGUUCUGUUAUCAACGUUCUUAUGUCGACAAAAUAAAAUGCUUGUGAAGACCAGUGUCAAGCAAUGGAGCUGGCCAUAAAAAAGGUUUUGCCGAACACAGCCCACUGUCCACCGUUGGUGCAAAUGGCAUGUGCUGAAGAAGGCGAAGGAGUCCCUAGGACCAUUGUCAGAUUGGCAUGUGGCUGGCCAUGCUAUGUGUUUUAUACCUGUGUCCACAUGGUUAUUAGAUGGAUUGCAUGCAGAGCAGGAUGCAACAGCUGGAUGGCAUGCAACCAUGUAAGUGUUCAAAUUUUAAAAGUGCUGACUAGUUCAAAAUUCGAAUGAGUGGGAGGGAAAUGCUUGGCUACCUUUCUAUAUAAGGGAGAGGCCUUGUCUUCGUAUAACUAGCAGCAGAUAGGAGGGAAGCUCUGAAUACACAGUUCAGGUUUUGUGAGAUAUGGCACCCACUGAUGCAUGGUCUAAGUUCCCGGCUUUGACAAGCGAGUCUGCACUUGAUGGCGAGCAGGGCGGCAACGAGCAAGAGAUUUCAAAGUUCAAAUCCAAAUGGAAGCGGGUUGAACCAUGUCGGAAGCAAAGCAGCGGCUGUUCCUGGAUUUGGAUUUGGCAACCACGGAGCAAUGGUGGCAGGCGUGGACUCUGCUGUUGAUACGGUGAGUGACGAGGCACAUGCAGGAAUACGUGCUGGGAAUCUUCAGUUAAGCGGGCGAGAAUAGAUCCGGAUCAGUAGGGCGUUAGCAGCAGGUCCAGGGCAAAAUUUCUUGCUAGUACUUCCAUUGGUUUCAAAUUGGUGUGAUCGUUCUUGAGUUCCAAAUGAGGCGGAGCAGGCCAUGGAUCUGGAGCUUGGUUGGGGAUUGUGACAAAUCUCAGGGGCACUGCUUGGGAGGGGUGUGACGGAGGAAGGGGUGUGAAGAUGCAGGCGCUUAAGAAGAGGUCCUGCCCCAAGACGUGUGUAUGUGUGCUCUCUCGUGCCGAGAAGCCCUAGAACAUCGGUACAGCACGGUCCAGAUCGUCUACCGGCAUCUUAGACCGCGUACGGGUCACGGCAGAAACGGCAUUAACUCCGGCCGGUGCGUGGGCCAUGGAACUAUUCUAUAUCUGAGAUACGUCACAGAAUACUACAUACUAUACUGCCUGUUCCACAGAUCCCGAUGUAAUUGAAUGGUUCAGAUAUAGGGAUCAUCUGGACCCGGGUUUCGUUUUGAAUUUCCCCAU